rnacentral:tRNA from 1 species
GCCGAAGUGGCGGAAUUGGCAGACGCGCAUGGUUGAGGGCCAUGUGGGGGCAACCCCGUGCGAGUUCGAGUCUCGCCUUCGGCACCA